UACGUAGGGUGCAAGCGUUGUCCGGAAUCAUUGGGCGUAAAGCGCGCGUAGGCGGCCCGAUAAGUCCGCUGUAAAAGUCAACGGCUCAACUGUUGAAAGCCGGUGGAUACUGUCGGGCUAGAGUACGGAAGAGGCGAGUGGAACUCCUGGUGUAGCGGUGGAAUGCGCAGAUAUCAGGAAGAACACCGACGGCGAAGGCAGCUCGCUGGGACGGUACUGACGCUGAGGUGCGAAAGCGUGGGGAGCAAACAGG
rnacentral:rRNA from 1 species